AAUGGCAAAAACCACAAUUACUUUUGCACCAACCUA
rnacentral:miRNA from 13 species